rnacentral:rRNA from 1 species
GAUGAACGCUGGCGGCGUGCCUAAUACAUGCAAGUCGAGCGAACAGACGAGGAGCUUGCUCCUCUGACGUUAGCGGCGGACGGGUGAGUAACACGUGGAUAACCUACCUAUAAGACUGGGAUAACUUCGGGAAACCGGAGCUAAUACCGGAUAAUAUAUUGAACCGCAUGGUUCAAUAGUGAAAGACGGUUUUGCUGUCACUUAUAGAUGGAUCCGCGCCGCAUUAGCUAGUUGGUAAGGUAACGGCUUACCAAGGCAACGAUGCGUAGCCGACCUGAGAGGGUGAUCGGCCACACUGGAAGUGAGACACGGUCCAGACUCCUACGGGAGGCAGCAGUAGGGAAUCUUCCGCGAUGGGCGAAAGCCUGACGGAGCAACGCCGCGUGAGUGAUGAAGGUCUUCGGAUCGUAAAACUCUGUUAUUAGGGAAGAACAAAUGUGUAAGUAACUAUGCACGUCUUGACGGUACCUAAUCAGAAAGCCACGGCUAACUACGUG